GACGAACCGUGCGAACGUUAUUCGGAAUCACUGGGCUUAAAGCGCGUGUAGGCGGGGUGGCACGUCCGUCGCUGAAAUCCCCCGGCUCAACCGGGGAACGGGCGCGGAUACGACCAUCCUCGAGGGACGUAGGGGGACCUGGAACUUCCGGUGGAGCGGUGAAAUGCGUUGAGAUCGGAAGGAACGCCCGUGGCGAAAGCGAGGUCCUGGACGCUUACUGACGCUGAGACGCGAAAGCCAGGGGAGCGAACGGG
rnacentral:rRNA from 1 species